CUUUGCUUGGCGAAACUAGGAAAACGCGGCGGAUUUAAAAUCUGUUCUAAUUUUAGAUUUUGGUUCAAUUCCAAAAGUAAAGA
rnacentral:tRNA from 1 species